GACGAACGCUGGCGGCGUGCCUAAUACAUGCAAGUCGAGCGGACUGAUUAAGAGCUUGCUCUUAUGACGUUAGCGGCGGACGGGUGAGUAACACGUGGGCAACCUGCCCUGUAGAUCGGGAUAACACCGAGAAAUCGGUGCUAAUACCGGGUAAUAUCUGAGAUCACAUGAUCUUAGGUUAAAAGAUGGCUCCGGCUAUCACUACAGGAUGGGCCCGCGGCGCAUUAGCUAGUUGGUAAGGUAAUGGCUUACCAAGGCGACGAUGCGUAGCCGACCUGAGAGGGUGAUCGGCCACACUGGGACUGAGACACGGCCCAGACUCCUACGGGAGGCAGCAGUAGGGAAUCUUCCGCAAUGGACGAAAGUCUGACAGAGCAACGCCGCGUGAGUGAUGAAGGGGUUCGGCUCGUAAAGCUCUGUUGUUAGGGAAGAAACAGUACCGAACGAACUAGGUCGGUACCUUGACGGUACCUAACCAGAAAGCCACGGCUAACUACGUG
rnacentral:rRNA from 1 species